UGGGGAAUAUUGCACAAUGGGGGAAACCCUGAUGCAGCCAUGCCGCGUGUGUGAAGAAGGCCUUCGGGUUGUAAAGCACUUUCAGCGAGGAGGAAAGGGUGGAAGCUAAUACCUUUCAUCUGUGACGUUACUCGCAGAAGAAGCACCGGCUAACUCCGUGCCAGCAGCCGCGGUAAUACGGAGGGUGCAAGCGUUAAUCGGAAUUACUGGGCGUAAAGCGCACGCAGGCGGUUAUAUAAGUCAGAUGUGAAAGCCCCGGGCUCAACCUGGGAACUGCAUUUGAAACUGUGUAACUAGAGUCUUGUAGAGGGGGGUAGAAUUCCAGGUGUAGCGGUGAAAUGCGUAGAGAUCUGGAGGAAUACCGGUGGCGAAGGCGGCCCCCUGGACAAAGACUGACGCUCAGGUGCGAAAGCGUGGGGAGCAAACAGG
rnacentral:rRNA from 1 species